GACGAACGCUGGCGGCGUGCUUAACACAUGCAAGUCGAACGGAAAGGCCCUGCUUUUGUGGGGUGCUCGAGUGGCGAACGGGUGAGUAACACGUGAGUAACCUGCCCUUGACUUUGGGAUAACUUCAGGAAACUGGGGCUAAUACCGGAUAGGAGCUCCUGCUGCAUGGUGGGGGUUGGAAAGUUUCGGCGGUUGGGGAUGGACUCGCGGCUUAUCAGCUUGUUGGUGGGGUAGUGGCUUACCAAGGCUUUGACGGGUAGCCGGCCUGAGAGGGUGACCGGCCACAUGGGGACUGAGAUACGCCCCAGACGCCUACGGGAGGCAGCAGUGGAGAGUAUGACACAAUGGGCGGAAGCCUGAUGCAGCAACGCCGCGUGCGGGAUGACGGCCUUCGGGUUGUAAACCGCUUUCGCCUGUGACGAAGCGUGAGUGACGGUAAUGGGUAAAGAAGCACCGGCUAACUACGUG
rnacentral:rRNA from 1 species